CAAACCUCAAGCAACUGCUUGGUAAUUGAGCUUUCGUCUUGUUUAUUCGAGACGUGCUCGAAACUUGUGGGCGGUGCUGACCAGCAUCUUUGCGUAGUCAUAUAAUUUCGCAUCUGAUACAACUGGUUUUGGCUACUCGCCGGAUAAUUCUUGGUUCCUUUUUGGAGUCAUAAUUUUCUUAG
rnacentral:misc_RNA from 1 species